rnacentral:rRNA from 1 species
UACGUAGGGGCCGAGCGUUGUCCGGAGUUACUGGGCGUAAAGCGCGCGCAGGCGGUCUCUUUAGUCCGGCGUGAAAGCCCCCGGCUCAACCGGGGAGGGUCGUCGGGGACUGGGAGACUUGAGGACGGCAGGGGCUGGUGGAAUCCCCGGUGUAGUGGUGAAAUGCGUAGAGAUCGGGGGGAACACCCGUGGCGAAGGCGGCCAGCUGGGCCGGUCCUGACGCUGAGGCGCGAAGGCGUGGGGAGCGAACGGG